rnacentral:rRNA from 1 species
UGGGGAAUUUUGCACAAUGGGGGAAACCCUGAUGCAGCGACGCCGCGUGAUUUAGAAGGCCUUCGGGUUGUAAAAAUCUUUUCUAUGGGAAGAAAAUGACAGUACCAUAGGAAUAAGGACCGGCUAAUUACGUGCCAGCAGCCGCGGUAAUACGUAAGGUCCGAGCGUUGUCCGGAAUCAUUGGGCGUAAAGGGUACGUAGGCGGGUAAGCAAGUUAGAAGUAAAAUCCUGUAGCUAAACUACAGUAAGCUUUUAAAACUGCUCAUCUUGAGAUAUGGAAGGGAAAGUGGAAUUCCUGGUGUAGCGGUGAAAUGCGCAGAUAUUAGGAGGAAUACCGGUGGCGAAGGCGACUUUCUGGCCAUAAUCUGACGCUGAGGCUCGAAAGCGUGGGGAGCGAACAGG